UGUUAAAAGCCAUUUCCCCCCAAAUUUCGACCAAUUCAAACCUAGGGCAAGUAAAAAACUUCCGCCAAAAUCCCAAAUCUCUUCCACCCAAAUCUCUCCCACCCAAAUCUCCUCCACUAAGUUAAUCAAAUCCCGUAAACCCUAAAUCUCUUCCACCAAAUCACCCAAGUCUCUUCCACUAAAUCGCCCAAAUUUCUUCCAUCACUUGUUUCUUCAGUUCUCGGUAGCAGCAAUAAACAGUGAAAUCGUCACUUCGCCACCUCCGUCGUCGCAAACCAUCACCUUUUUUGAAGACUUUUUGGACAUGCUUUUUUGUAAGAAUUUUGUUUGACAUGGAUCUGCCAAAAGAAGACAUUUCAAAUGAAAAUGAAGGUGAAGGCAACCCUAAAUGUGAAGAUGCAAAACCAGAGAGGAAAACAGAGGGGCCCAACAAAGAAAGGCAAGCCUAAAACAAAACUAACAAUAAAAUGUAACAAAAUAGGUGUUCCUAUUGGACCCGAGGCUACAGAGUUAGCCACAUUUGAAGGGAUGGUAGCUCGAACUAUGGUUCCUAUUAUUUAUGAUGUCUGGUGACAUGUGUUAGAAGACUUGAAGAGAAAAAUAUGGGAUUUUGUGUGUGAACAUUUUGGGGUCAACCCUAAGAGUUGAAAGAAAACACUUCAAGACAAUGGAGUGAAGUGGAGCUUGUUCAAAUAUACCCUAAAAAAGAAUUUUGUUAUUCCCUUUGCGAAUAAAAGUGGUAAAUUGGUGAGACCUCCACCAUAGUACAACUUCAUCAAGAAGAGUCACUGGGAAGAAUUUGUGGCUAAGCGAUCAUCGAAAAACAUUCAGACAUUGAGCACUAAGCAAAAGGAAAAAUGAGCCAAGAACAAAUACAACGAUAGAUUGUUCGGAAGGGAUACGCUAAUCUGAUUGAAG